GACAGAGGGUGCAAACGUUGUUCGGAAUCACUGGGCAUAAAGCGCACGUAGGCGGUUCGUUAAGUCGCGCGUGAAAGCCCCCGGCUCAACCGGGGAACAGCGCGCGAUACUGGCGAGCUCGAGGACGGUAGGGGUGAGCGGAACUCCAGGUGGAGCGGUGAAAUGCGUAGAUAUCUGGAGGAACACCGGUGGCGAAAGCGGCUCACUGGACCGUAUCUGACGCUGAGGUGCGAAAGCUAGGGUAGCAAACGGG
rnacentral:rRNA from 1 species